UCAGAACGAACGCUGGCGGCAGGCCUAACACAUGCAAGUCGAGCGCUCUCUUCGGAGGGAGCGGCGGACGGGUUAGUAACGCGUGGGAACGUGCCCUUCUCUACGGAAUAGCCUCGGGAAACUGGGAGUAAUACCGUAUACGCCCUUUGGGGGAAAGAUUUAUCGGAGAAGGAUCGGCCCGCGUUGGAUUAGGUAGUUGGUGGGGUAAUGGCCUACCAAGCCUACGAUCCAUAGCUGGUUUGAGAGGAUGAUCAGCAACACUGGGACUGAGACACGGCCCAGACUCC
rnacentral:rRNA from 2 species